UACGUAGGGGGCAAGCGUUGUCCGGAAUCAUUGGGCGUAAAGAGCUCGUAGGCGGCUCAGUAAGUCGGGUGUGAAACCUCCAGGCUCAACCUGGAGACGCCACCCGAUACUGCUGUGGCUAGAGUCCAGUAGGGGAGUGUGGAAUUCCCGGUGUAGCGGUGAAAUGCGCAGAUAUCGGGAGGAACACCGGUGGCGAAGGCGGCUCUCUGGACGGUGACUGACGCUGAGACGCGAAAGCGUGGGGAGCAAACAGG
rnacentral:rRNA from 1 species